AUGGCGCCAAAAGCGAAGAAGGAAGCUCCUGCCCCUCCUAAAGCAGAAGCCAAAGCAAAGGCUUUAAAGGCAGUGUUGAAAGGUGUCCACAGCCACAUAAAAAAGAAGAUCCACAAGAAAAGAAGAUCCACCCACCUUCUGGCCGCCCAAGACACUGUGACUCCUGAGGCAGCCCAGAUAUCUUCAGAAGAGCGCCCCUGGGAGAAACAAGCUUGAUCACUAUGCUAUCAUCAAGUUUCUGCUGACCCCUGAGUCUGCCAUGAAGAAGACAGAAGGCAGCAACACACUCAUGUUCAUUGUGGAUGUUAAAGCCAAAAAGCACCAGAUCAAAUAGGCCGUGAAGAAGCUCUGUGACAUUGAUGUGGCCGCAGUCAACACCCUGAUCAGCCUGAUGGAGAGAAGAAGGCAUAUGUUCAACUGGCUCCUGAUUACGAUGCUUUGGACGUUACCAACGAAAUUGGGAUCAUCUAA
rnacentral:lncRNA from 1 species